CGUUACUUUUCAAGCGGGAGAAGGACAGGCGUUUGAGUGUUAAUAAGCUGCAGCGAUUGACGUACCAGCAGAAGAAGCACCGGCUUAACUACCGUGCCAGCAGCCGCGGUAAUACGGAGGGGUGCAAGCGUUAAUCGGAAUUACUGGGCGUAAAGCGGCACGCAGGCGGUCUGUCAAGUCGGAUGUGAAAUCCCCGGGCUUCAACCGUGGGAACUGCAUUCGAAACUGGCAGGCUAGAGUCAUGAUAGAGGAGGGGUAGAAUUCCAGGUGUAGCGGUGAAAUGCGUAGAGAUCUGGAGGAAUACCGGUGGGGAAGGCGGCCCCCUGUACAAAGACUGACGCUCAGGUGCGAAAGCGUGGGGAGCAAACAGGAUUAGAUACCCUGGUAGUCCACGCCGUAAACGAUGUCGACUUGGAGUUUGUGCCCUUGAGGCGUGGCUUCCGGAGCUAACGCGUUAAGUCGUCCGCCUGGGGAGUACGGCCGCAAGGUUAAAACUCAAAUGAAUUGACGGGGGCCCGCACAAGCGGUGGAGCAUGUGGUUUAAUUCGAUGCAACGCGAAGAACCUUACCUACUCUUGACAUCCAGAGAACUUUCCAGAGAUGGAUUGGUUCCUUCGGGAACUCUGAGACAGGUGCUGCAUGGCUGUCGUCAGCUCGUGUUGUGAAAUGUUGGGUUAAGUCCCGCAACGAGCGCAACCCUUAUCCUUUGUUGCCAGCGGUUCGGCCGGGAAUUCAAAGGAGACUGCCAGUGAUAAACUGGAGGAAGGUGGGGAUGACGUCAAGUCAUCAUGGCCCUUACGAGUAGGGCUACACACGUGCUACAAUGGCGCAUACAAAGAGAAGCGACCUCGCGAGAGCAAGCGGUCCUCAUAAACUGCGUUCUAGUCCGGAUUGGAGUUUGCAACUCGACUCCAUGAAGUCGGAAUCGCUAGUAAUCGUAGAUCAGAAUGCUACGGUGAAUACUUUCCCGGCCCUUGUCCCCCCCCCCCUUCCCACCAUGGGAGUGGGUUGCAAAAGAAGUAGUUAGGUUAACCUUCGGAGGGCGCUCCUAUAGUGUAUACCUUCUUCGU
rnacentral:rRNA from 1 species